AGAUUGAACGCUGGCGGCAGGCCUAACACAUGCAAGUCGAGCGGCAGCACGGGUACUUGUACCUGGUGGCGAGCGGCGGACGGGUGAGUAAUGCCUAGGAAUCUGCCUGAUAGUGGGGGAUAACGCUCGGAAACGGACGCUAAUACCGCAUACGUCCUACGGGAGAAAGCAGGGGACCUUCGGGCCUUGCGCUAUCAGAUGAGCCUAGGUCGGAUUAGCUAGUUGGUGGGGUAAUGGCUCACCAAGGCGACGAUCCGUAACUGGUCUGAGAGGAUGAUCAGUCACACUGGAACUGAGACACGGUCCAGACCUCCGUACGGGAGCAG
rnacentral:rRNA from 1 species